rnacentral:rRNA from 1 species
UGAGGAAUAUUGGUCAAUGGGCGUGAGCCUGAACCAGCCAAGUCGCGUGAGGGAAGACUGCCUUAUGGGUUGUAAACCUCUUUUGUCGGGGAGCAAAGCUGCCACGUGUGGCGGUUUGAGAGUACCCGAAGAAAAGCAUCGGCUAACUCCGUGCCAGCAGCCGCGGUAAUACGGAGGAUGCGAGCGUUAUCCGGAUUUAUUGGGUUUAAAGGGUGCGUAGGCGGACGAUCAAGUCAGCGGUCAAAUGUCGGGGCUUAACCCCGGCCUGCCGUUGAAACUGGUUGUCUUGAGUGAGCGAGAGGUAUGCGGAAUGCGUGGUGUAGCGGUGAAAUGCAUAGAUAUCACGCAGAACCCCGAUUGCGAAGGCAGCAUACCGGUGCUCAACUGACGCUGAUGCACGAAAGCGUGGGGAUCAAACAGGAUUAGAUACC